rnacentral:rRNA from 1 species
GUGUACAGCCGUGCCACUCUGAACACGUCUGAUCUCAUUAGAUCUCAGAAGCUAAGCAAGGUCGGGCCUGGUUAGUACUUGGAUGGGAGAAUCCAGGCCCUGCAGCCU